UCAUUGCACCUGGAAAGAUUUUUGAAUUCUAAUUUUAUUAACCAUUUGGGUGAGGCAUUUUCUCUUUUUACCGAAAGAAGAAGGAGAGGAAAGAAAAAGUCCAGGUUGAGUUUAGAAACCUUCUCCUUUUGCCUUAGUCUGGUCCAGUGCUUUAGCUUCCCCUGAAUUCCUUGGUUUUGAGUUUUGACAUUCCGAAUAAGAGAUCAGAAGUCACAUCUGAUAUUUGACGAAGAGAAGAGGGAGCUUAUUAAAGAUUUCAGGUGUCAGACCCGUGGUAGUGAAUUUGCAAGGAGGAAUUUCUCUGACUGCUACUUGGAUUGGAGCAUAAUCUAUUCUCUCAUUCAGAGGUAUUUAGAUGAGUGCAUUAUUUCUGUGGUGCUCACUGAUGCCAAAACUACCUCCCAUGAAGUAGAAAUGACCAGAGAGCCUCUGUCACCGUAAGACCCAUGUUAGACCAAGCAAGACACUCCGCCAAUUUAAGGCAUAAUUGCCUCUUCCUCUGCAUCCACACAUCCAUCCCAACUGAAUUCUUUGGAGACAUUCUGAAAUCGGGUGUGCGGGCUCCAGAAAACAAGUCCCUCUUGUAGACUUUCCACAGGCGCCACUGUUGGUCAAGCCAUUUUGCGUCCUGGGAAGUCCGUUCCUGAGGAACUCUUGGAGAUCAUAAGCCUGACCUGGCACUUCUUUCUGGUUGAAAAGCAGUCUUGGAGAGCCUGAAACCCGCAGGGGCCAUCACUGCACGCAGAUCCAGGACCGCUGUUGGCAGAGGCUCGACACACCCUCACAUCCCCAGCAUCUGGCCAGGCGUGCCACACCUCUGCUCUCCUGCCAGCCACUCAGACACAGAGAGAGACAGAGACACAGGAGGAGGGAGAAGUAGGC